rnacentral:rRNA from 1 species
CCUACGGGUGGCAGCAGUCGAGAAUCAUUCACAAUGGGGGAAACCCUGAUGGAGCGACGCCGCGUGGGGGAAUGAAGGUCUUCGGAUUGUAAACCCCUGUCAUGUGGGAGCAAAUUAAAAAGAUAGUACCACAAGAGGAAGAGACGGCUAACUCUGUGCCAGCAGCCGCGGUAAUAAAGAGGUCUCAAGCGUUGUUCGGAACCACUGGGCGUAAAGGGUGCGUAGGCUGUUUCGUAAGUCGUGUGUGAAAGGCGCGGGCUCAACCCGCGGGCGGCACAUGAUACUGCGAGACUAGAGUAAUGGAGAGGGAGCCGGAAUUCCCGGUGUAGCAGUGAAAUGCGUAGAUAUCAGGAGGAACACUCGUGGCGAAGGCGGGUUCCUGGACAUUAACUGACGCUGAGGCACGAAGGCGAGGGGAGCGAAAGGGAUUAGAUACCCGGGUAGUC